UCGAACUGGCCUUGUGGGGUGACAUCC
rnacentral:sRNA from 1 species